CGGGGAGUAGCUCAGCCAGGUAGAGCACCACGUUCGGGACGUGGGGGCCGGAGGUUCAAGUCCUCUCUCCCCGA
rnacentral:tRNA from 1 species